AUUGAACGCUGGCGGCAUGCUUUACACAUGCAAGUCGAACGGUAACAGGCCUUCGGGUGCUGACGAGUGGCGAACGGGUGAGUAAUGCAUCGGAACGUACCGUGUAAUGGGGGAUAACGUAGCGAAAGUUACGCUAAUACCGCAUACGCCCUGAGGGGGAAAGCGGGGGAUCGUAAGACCUCGCGUUAUACGAGCGGCCGAUGUCGGAUUAGCUAGUUGGUGGGGUAAAGGCCUACCAAGGCGACGAUCCGUAGCGGGUCUGAGAGGAUGAUCCGCCACACUGGGACUGAGACACGGCCCAGACUCCUACGGGAGGCAGCAGUGGGGAAUUUUGGACAAUGGGCGAAAGCCUGAUCCAGCAAUGCCGCGUGCAGGAAGAAGGCCUUCGGGUUGUAAACUGCUUUUGUACGGAGCGAAAAGGCUCUCUCUAAUACAGGGGGCUCAUGACGGUACCGUAAGAAUAAGCACCGGCUAACUACGUGCCAGCAGCCGCAGUAAAAC
rnacentral:rRNA from 1 species